rnacentral:rRNA from 1 species
UGGGGAAUAUUGGACAAUGGGCGAAAGCCUGAUCCAGCCAUGCCGCGUGUGUGAAGAAGGUCUUCGGAUUGUAAAGCACUUUAAGUUGGGAGGAAGGGCAGUUACCUAAUACGUGAUUGUUUUGACGUUACCGACAGAAUAAGCACCGGCUAACUCUGUGCCAGCAGCCGCGGUAAUACAGAGGGUGCAAGCGUUAAUCGAAAUUACUGGGCGUAAAGCGCGCGUAGGUGGUUAGUUAAGUUGGAUGUGAAAUCCCCGGGCUCAACCUGGGAACUGCAUUCAAAACUGACUGACUAGAGUAUGGUAGAGGGUGGUGGAAUUUCCUGUGUAGCGGUGAAAUGCGUAGAUAUAGGAAGGAACACCAGUGGCGAAGGCGACCACCUGGACUGAUACUGACACUGAGGUGCGAAAGCGUGGGGAGCAAACAGGAUUAGAUACCCGAGUAGUCCCUGAGCGGGCUGGCAAGGCGCAU